AUUCUGCCCAUGCGGGGAAGGAUGAGAAGCUUCGACCAAGGUUCGACUCGAGCGCCAGCGAGAGAGCGUUGCCGCAGGCAACGACCCGAAGGGCGAAGCGCGCAGCGCUGAGUAAUCCUUC
rnacentral:sRNA from 1 species